rnacentral:rRNA from 1 species
CCUACGGGGGGCAGCAGUCGAGAAUCAUUCGCAAUGGGGGAAACCCUGAUGGUGCGACGCCGCGUGGGGGAAUGAAGGUCUUCGGAUUGUAAACCCCUGUCAUGUGGGAGCAAAUUAAAAAGAUAGUACCACAAGAGGAAGAGACGGCUAACUCUGUGCCAGCAGCCGCGGUAAUACAGAGGUCUCAAGCGUUGUUCGGAAUCACUGGGCGUAAAGCGUGCGUAGGCGGUUUCGUAAGUCGUGUGUGAAAGGCGCGGGCUCAACCCGCGGACGGCACAUGAUACUGCGAGACUAGAGUAAGGGAGGGGGAACCGGAAUUCUCGGUGUAGCAGUGAAAUGCGUAGAUAUCGGGAGGAACACUCGUGGCGAAGGCGAGUUCCUGGACAUUAACUGACGCUGAGGCACGAAGGCCAGGGGAGCGAAAGGGAUUAGAUACCCGGGUAGUC